GAUUUCGACAGAGCUGGGCUCAGAAGCCAGUUGUUGGCGCUGUCCGUGGUGCUGAGGAAUUCCCGGCUGCCGGCAGAAUGAGCUCCAAAUCAGCAAUCUGCAAACUGCUCUUACUGAUGCAGAAACCCAGCUAAAGUUGCUCCUUUCCUUCACAUCCACAGUUAGUAUUUUCCGGUGUGUAAGAGGGGAUUCAAGCAACAUACUGUGGACGAUGGUGAUGGUAUUGCCAGCGGAGUGGGCUUUAAGCUACAGCAUGCUGUUGCUGUUUGUGAUCCUCAGAGCCUAGCCAAAUCACCUCUACUGCCGUAGCAAACACUGUGUAAGUGAACUCAUGUGUGGAGGAGGCGUAAUCAGCCGGGAAAUUUCAUAGAAGGAUCUAAGAAAAUGCUAAAAAUAAGUUCAACAUGAUUCUGCUACUGGGGUCUGGAUUUCUACAGGACCAGCAUUGCUUCUUGCUUUGAAUUCUGAAGACAGGUCCAAAGCAAAUUUCUUAUAUGUGUCUGCUGUGUUUCUUUCUGGAAGGGCGGGAGACUGCUUCUUUACUGUGUUUUGAAAUGGGAGGUAGAGAGAAUGGAUUGCCUUUAAUUCAUGCCUAAAAAAUGUAUUCUUUGGGUAAUUAAAGAGGAACUGCUUUCUUAAAACAUACCUGACCUUUUAGUUCAUUUUGGGCUGUGACCCCUACCACCACCAUUAACCUCCAGAGUGAUUAGCCUACCCCUCUUGUAUUCCCAUGGAAGGAGCUGAGUAUAUUUAAUAUUAGGAGCACAUCCAGAAGUCUUUGAAGAGGGGGAUGGCUCUUCAUAUUCAUGAAGCUUGCAUACUUCUGUUGGUCAUCCCUGGAUUGGUCACCUCUGCUGCUAUCAGUCAUGAAGACUAUCCUGCUGAUGAAGGUGACCAGAUCUCCAGUAAUGACAAUCUGAUCUUUGAUGACUAUCGAGGGAAAGGGUGUGUCGAUGACAGCGGCUUUGUAUACAAGUUGGGAGAACGAUUUUUCCCUGGGCAUUCCAACUGUCCGUGUGUCUGUGCUCUAGAUGGACCUGUUUGCGACCAACCAGAAUGCCCUAAAAUUCACCCAAAGUGUACUAAAGUGGAACACAAUGGAUGCUGUCCUGAGUGCAAAGAAGUAAAAAACUUCUGUGAAUAUCACGGGAAAAAUUACAAAAUCUUGGAGGAAUUUAAGGUAUGCGUUUCCCUCCAUAUUUAUUGAAAUAUCAACUUUUCAUACCACGUGCUUAGUACAUUGCUACAUUAAAGUCAGAGUUGGAAAAAUGUACUUUAAAAUUUCCCUUUAAAUUAUACAAUUUGAUUCUAAUUACCAUAAGUAGCACCAUGGUCAACAAAUGGCCAAUUGGUUUGUUGAUCAUAUUUGUUAAGUUGCACAAUAACCUUUAUUUUUUUUCCCAGAAGUAUUUGGGGCAUACCUAACACCUUUUAUUUUUGCCCUUAAACAUUUCUUCUCUGUUAUUACAAAAUAUGUUUUCUGAUGGGAACAAUUUUGUGUAUAGUGUAUGUGUCUCCUAAAUUAAUUUUUUAAUUGUGUCAGUUUUGUGUGUUGCUUAUUAGCCUGUAUUUGAAGUCAUUUAACAAUAUAGUCUAGAAUUAUUUGUUUAUUGUGUGGAAAAGCUACAGAGAUACACUUCUUAGCUGUGGUCCUCAUAUUAAGAAAAUGCAUUGGGCCUACUUGUUGUCAAGCAAGAUCCCCAUUCUGUUCUCUGCUCGCUGGAUUUUUUGCUUUCAGGAUUCCACAGAGAACUGAAUUUUUAUCACAAUCCAUGUAAAGAGUAGUAAAAAAGACUGUAA
rnacentral:sRNA from 1 species